GAAGAGAUGGCUCAGUGGUUAAGAGCACUGACUGCUCUUCCAAAGGUCCUGAGUUCAAUUCCCAGCAACCACA
rnacentral:tRNA from 1 species